rnacentral:tRNA from 3 species
GCGGAAGUAGCUCAGUUGGUAGAGCAUCAGCCUUCCAAGCUGAAUGUCGCGAGUUCGAACCUCGUCUUCCGCUCGA